GUCUAUGGACAUGCCACCCUGAACACGCCUGAUCCCGUCUGAUUUCCGAAGCUAAGCAGAGUCGGGCCUGUUUAGUACUUGGAUAGGAGACCGCCUAGGAAGACUGGGUGCUGUAGGCG
rnacentral:rRNA from 1 species